rnacentral:ncRNA from 1 species
AAACCGGCAAACCUGCCGAAAGGCAGCGACGCAAAGCCAAGGGGCCCUACUCCGUUUAAAACUGCGCGGAAGGCCAGCCAGCUACC